UGAUGUAAUGGCGGGAAGAAGGUUUGUUUCUCUCUCUCUCUUGCUGUUUGGGCCUUGCUCUUUUUUAGCCAGCCAUAAAUGAUGACCCAGCCUUGUGAUGCUGCCUCGGAGCCAACUGAGUAUGGACUGAAACCUCAGAGAGCUGUAAGAAAUGAAUCUUUCCUUCCCUAACUUUGGGUGUCAGGUAUUUUGUCUCAACAAGGAGUAAAAAGUAAGACAAGAAGAGACAGAAAAUAGAAGGUCAUAGCUGAAUGCAGAAAGGAAGGCCGGGCUGUGUGGAAGGAAGCCGGCAGAGGUUGGGCUGAAAGCUGAGAAUAUAAAGGAAAUGACCAACACACCAACUUCGUCCUCCGUACAUAAGCUGUAUCCAGCUGCAUUAGAGGACUCCCCAACCACCCAAAGAUUUGGUUUGCAUGCGGUGUGAGCAUCCAGAUUAUACAGACUGCUCUCAGUGUGGUGAAGAGUAUUGGGUUCAGCAUCCUCACAGCAAAAGGGUGGGCCCACUUUACCUCACGCUGGAAGACUGGCAUCAGGUGCCAUGCUCAUCAUGGUGUUCUCAUAUCAGAAGAUGGGUACCUGGUGUGGGGCUUGGCUUGCUCUCGGGUCAGGAUCAGGUGUUGCUGUUCUGCACUGCAGUUGAUACGAGUAGUGGCUCCCUGAAAGGAUCAUCAACCCAUGGCCAUGUUAUAUGCAGGGAAAUCGUAUUCCCAAAGAGGCAAAAUGUGGAACUCCACAAGGAAAGGACGAAUCUAAUGACAGAAGAAUAUUUUGUGGUCGUAUUUUCUGUCAAGACAGAGAAAUCAAUGGAAACUGCAGACUGGCUGUAAAAUGCUCUGGAACAACUGUUACAAAGAACCAAGAGAUCAAGGGAAGAAAACUGAGGAUACCAUAUAUUGCAAACCUUUUUUUUUUAAAGAUACGGAUGAAAUCUUUUUCAAGGACUAGAAUAAACCUGUCCCCUUAACAGUCAAUUUAUUUUAAUUAGUCCUCAAAUGGUCUUUCCUUCCCUUUCUUUUUCAGCUAUUAGUAUUAAUACUAUUCAGAAUGAAAUAAAGGCCUUUA
rnacentral:lncRNA from 1 species